rnacentral:rRNA from 1 species
AGCGAACGCUGGCGGCAGGCCUAACACAUGCAAGUCGAACGAACCCUUCGGGGUUAGUGGCGGACGGGUGAGUAACACGUGGGAACGUGCCUUUAGGUUCGGAAUAACUCAGGGAAACUUGUGCUAAUACCGAAUGUGCCCUUCGGGGGAAAGAUUCAUCGCCUUUAGAGCGGCCCGCGUCUGAUUAGCUAGUUGGUGAGGUAAAGGCUCACCAAGGCUACGAUCAGUAGCUGGUCUGAGAGGAUGACCAGCCACAUUGGGACUGAGACACGGCCCAAACUCCUACGGGAGGCAGCAGUGGGGAAUCUUGCGCAAUGGGCGAAAGCCUGACGCAGCAUGCCGCGUGGAUGAUGAAGGUCUUAGGAUUGUAAAAUCCUUUCACCGGUGAAGAUAAUGACUGUAGCCGGAGAAGAAGCCCCGGCUAACUUCGUGCCAGCCGCCGCAGUAACAC